rnacentral:misc_RNA from 1 species
GAAUUUUGAGUGGUUUGGAGCUGGUAGCCCAGUUCUUCUUCUUGCCAAAAUAUUUUUUGGGAGAAUUCCUCCAACAUUGGCAAAUUUAUCAAAAUUGGAUGUGUUGAUCAAGGAUGGAUGUGGGACUGCUACCGCACAAGUCAAAAUACUAAAUUCGAUUGAGAAUAAAUUUAUCAUCUCCACCAAGUAUAGUGUUGAAGGGCCUCUUCGUAUGAAAGAAGAGUAUGUUGAAGGGGAAUUUGAAUCUCCAAAAGUCGAUGAGGAAGCUGUACCUGAACAACUAAGAGGUGCUUUUGGCCAGGCAUUUAAUACUCUGCAACAACUUCCUGUCCCCAUUAGAGAUGCUGUGUCCAGUGG